GAUGAAGAACGUAGCGAAAUGCGAUAAGUAAUGUGAAUUGCAGAAUUCCGUGAAUCAUCGAAUCUUUGAACGCACAUUGCGCCCUCUGGUAUUCCGGGGGGCAUGCCUGUCCGAGCGUCAUUGCAAACCCUCAAGCCCGGCUUGUGUGUUGGGCCCCGUCCUCCGAUCCCGGGGGACGGGCCCGAAAGGCAGCGGCGGCACCGCGUCCGGUCCUCGAGCGUAUGGGGCUUUGUCACCCGCUCUGUAGGCCCGGCCGGCGCUUGCCGAUCAACCCAAAUUUUUAUCCAGGUUGACCUCGGAUCAGGUAGGGAUACCCGCUGAACUUAAGCAUAUCAAUAAGCGGAGGA
rnacentral:misc_RNA from 1 species